rnacentral:rRNA from 1 species
GCUCAGAAACUUAAAGGAAAUUGACGGAAGGGCACCACCAGGAGUGGAGCCUGCGGCUUAAUUUGACUCAACACGGGAAACCUCACCCGGCCCGGACACGGACAGGAUUGACAGAUUUGAUAGCUCUUUCUCGAUUCCGUGGGUGGUGGUGCAUGGCCGUUCUUAGUUGGUGGAGCGAUUUGUCUGGUUAAUUCCGAUAACGAACGAGACUCUGGCAUGCUAACUAGUUACGCGACCCCCGAGCGGUCGGCGUCCCCCAACUUCUUAGAGGGACAAGUGGCGUUCAGCCACCCGAGAUUGAGCAAUAACAGGUCUGUGAUGCCCUUAGAUGUCCGGGGCUGCACGCGCGCUACACUGACUGGCUCAGCGUGUGCCUACCCUACGCCGGCAGGCGCGGGUAACCCGUUGAACCCCAUUCGUGAUGGGGAUCGGGGAUUGCAAUUAUUCCCCAUGAACGGGGAAUUCCCAGUAAGUGCGGGUCAUAAGCUUGCGUUGAUUAAGUCCCUGCCCUUU